AUGCCGAUCCAAUCUCUUCAGGUGCUCCGUAUUGCAGUUACAUAUUCCCCACACAGAUACUUCGCGUCCUGGUCUUCUGCACUUUUUUCACCGAAGGCUCAAGGAAAAGUGACGAUACAAAAGAUGAUGCUAGAGGCAACAAAGCCGAGGCUCAAGGAAAAGUACGUCGCAUGCGUGCAAGUCACCAUUGAAGCCGAGUUCCAAGGAGCAGAUCUGGCGGGCCACAAAGUUGUGUCUAUCUUGCGUAUCCAAGAUACUUAUUUGUACCUACAACGCGCCGAAGAUCAAGUUGUAGCAGCUAAAACCUCCCCUCUAAGGAGGCCUCUUUCAAAGCGCUGGUGGUAG
rnacentral:rRNA from 1 species